rnacentral:rRNA from 1 species
UACAGAGGGUGCGCGCGUUAAUCGGAAUUAUUGGGCGUAAAGCGCACGUAGGUGGAUCUUUAAGUCGGAUGUGAAAGCCCCGGGCUCAACCUGGGAAUCGCAUUCGAUACUGAAUAUCUAGAGUAUGGUAGAGGGAGGUGGAAUUUCCGGUGUAGCGGUGAAAUGCGUAGAGAUCGGAAAGAACACCAGUGGCGAAGGCGGCCUCCUGGACUAAUACUGACACUGAGGUGCGAAAGCGUGGGGAGCGAACGGG